GGUUGACCUCGGAUCAGGUAGGAAUACCCGCUGAACUUAAGCAUAUCAAA
rnacentral:rRNA from 3 species